CCUGAACGCUGGCGGCGUGGCUAAGACAUGCAAGUCGCACGGUGUAGCAAUACACAGUGGCGAACGGGAGAGUAAUGAAUCGGGUAAACGUACCCCGGACGUCUGGGAGUAGCUAUCCGAAAGGGUAGGGUAAUACCAGUAUAAUAUAACCUGCAGGCAUCUGCGGGUUCGUCAAAGGUACCGCCGGUCGUGGGAGGCGGCCGAUUUCGUUAUCAGCUAGUUGGUGAGGUAACGGCUCACCAAGGCGACGACGCGUAGCCGGACUGAGAGGUUGGCCGG
rnacentral:rRNA from 1 species